GAUGAAGAACGCAGCGAAAUGCGAUAAGUAGUGUGAAUUGCAGAAUUCAGUGAAUCAUCGAAUCUUUGAACGCACAUUGCGCCCCUUGGUAUCCCGAGGGGCAUGCCUGUUCGAGCGUCAUUUCACCACUCAAGCCUGGCUUGGUGUUGGGCGACGUCCCCUUUGGGGACGCGCCUCGAAACGCUCGGCGGCGUGGCACCGGCUUUAAGCGUAGCAGAAUCUUUCGCUUUGGAAGUCGGGGCCCCGUCUGCCGGAAGACCUACUCGCAAGGUUGACCUCGGAUCAGGCAGGGAUACCCGCUGAACUUAAGCAUAUCAAUAAACGGAGGA
rnacentral:misc_RNA from 1 species